GCCUCCGUGGCCCAAUAGGUAGAGGCAAGCGACUUAAAAUCGCUGUGUUAUGGGUUCGAGUCCCAUCGGAGGCACCA
rnacentral:tRNA from 1 species